rnacentral:lncRNA from 1 species
CGGCAGCGUGCGCACAGCGGCUGCCCACACGUGUUGCAGAAGUACGUGGUCUCUGCGUCCUAAGGACAGAGGACCAAGCGCAGCCUCAGCCUGCCCACGGGCCGAGGAGCCUGAGUCCCUGAGCACGCACGUGUCAGAGACUGUCAGUCUGAGCCUGGGGCAGGCACGCGGCUAAAGGCAGCCCUUCCCGGUAAUCAUGACGCUUGAAUAUACCCAGUUUACAGAUGAGGGGUGGGGGGAGCAGAAACAUUGUACCUACAACAAAAUUUCGUGUUCGAAGGCUUCUCAAGCCCUCCUUGGCACCCUCAACAGUGGCCAAGUAACGGUGCCCACCCUGGCCAUCUGUGUCACAACUUGGCUGGGAGAGGGAAGGAGGGCCCAUUGGUUCCCUUCCCUACGCAAGACCUAGGGCUGAGAGGCCAGGUCUCCCACUGCCGCUGUGGCUCUGACCCCAACAAUGGCUGUGUAAGCACAGCCCCAACUCCUUACUUUGGCAUUCAAGGCCAUUUCCUUCCAUGCUGUCCCUACCUCCAACCCCUAACCUCCCGAACUGUCGGCUCUCACUUGCCCAGCACAUCCCGAGCUUUUGGGCCCACAGGGCUGUCCUCCUGGGGCUUGGAAUACCUCACCCAACCUUCACAGGCGAGUCCCGCGGUGCCAUUCACGUUCACAGCCCAGCCUGAAGCCUGGCCUCUGCUCCUCUUUCUUAGACUGGGGGAGGGGGGCAGGAACACCCCUCUCCAACAGCACAUUGUCCUCACUUCCCCUUGGGUACAGGUAGCUUGGUCAGCUCCCCAGGUAGGAGCCCUCCUCGAGGGCCAUCCCAACUCCACCCCAAGUUUGGGGACUGGUAAGCCCUCCCCCAGUGGAAUGAUGUUAACCUCUGCCACUAUCUGGCUAGUGCCUCAGGUCACUUGUCCUGGACCUCAGUCUUCCCACCUGUAAAAUGGGGCGGAUCCAGGGUGACUUAGGUUUUGGAAGAUCCACGGAGGGACUAAUCCUCUAAGGACAUGGGGGGCACUCCCCCUCCCCCCGGGCUUCAGGUGAGGCACAGGGCUCGUA